AUCUGUAGCACAGUGGAUAGUGCAGCAGCUUCCGAAGCUGAAGGUCGUAGGUUCGAAUCCUAUCAGGUGC
rnacentral:tRNA from 1 species